UGGGGAAUAUUGCGCAAUGGGCGAAAGCCUGACGCAGCAACACCGCGUGAGGGAUGACGGCCUUCGGGUUGUAAACCUCUUUCAGCUCCGACGAAGCGAAAGUGACGGUAGGAGCAGAAGAAGCACCGGCUAACUACGUGCCAGCAGCCGCGGUAAUACGUAGGGUGCAAGCGUUGUCCGGAAUUAUUGGGCGUAAAGAGCUCGUAGGCGGUCCGUUGCGUCUGCCGUGAAAACCCGGAGCUCAACUCCGGGCCUGCGGUGGAUACGGGCGGACUAGAGUCCGGUAGGGGAGACUGGAAUUCCUGGUGUAGCGGUGGAAUGCGCAGAUAUCAGGAGGAACACCGGUGGCGAAGGCGGGUCUCUGGGCCGGAACUGACGCUGAGGAGCGAAAGCGUGGGGGA
rnacentral:rRNA from 1 species